UGAGAUGACCGGACGGUUGCGUUUUUAACGAGGAAAGUCCGAACACCGUAGGACAGAACGCCGGCUAACUACCGGUGAAGGCGACUUCAAGGAAAGUGCAACAGAAAAUUACCGCCGGCAACGGCAAGGGUGAAAAGGCGAGGUAAGAGCUCACCGUCAAAACGGUAACGUUUUGAGCUGUGUAAACCCCGUUCGGUGCAAGACAAAGGGUUAAGGUUGUCCGCCGUCCUUUACAAUCGCUCGACCUAUACGGCAACGUAUAGGCAAGAUAGAUAACCGUCAUAACAGAAUUCGGCUUACGGGUCAUACUCACGUC
rnacentral:RNase_P_RNA from 1 species